UCCAUCUUCAAAUCAGACUGCCUCGAAUAUAUAUUUUUUGUUUCAAAACAACGGUUUAAUUGCCAACGAACAUACGUAAAAUGAGCGAUACCACAUUUUUAGCGAAUCACACGGAACUCAACGCUUCCUUCUCCGAUGAAUUGAAGAAUGAAUGGCGAAAAUUGCAUAAAAUGGAACUUAUUGUGGAGAUUCUCAAACAAGAACAUGCUCCAAUUUCAGCGGAACAAAGAGCACUUCUCAGCAUUUAUAAAUACGAUGGCCCUCUACCCUUAGGAUUAGACAACAUUCGAAAUGUUGAACUGAGUUAUCACGACCGUUUAGCGUUGAAUCGUUAUGUUGAGACGAAAAUCUUAAAAAACACCAACUCUGUGGUUACAGAAUCACUCAAGCUAUCCGAUAAUAAUAUCGAUAGUUUGGAUAAUCCCGCAUUGAAAGAGUAUUGUGAGGUUUUGGAACUUGAUGUUGAAAAACGUAAACUGACUGAACAUUUGCUGGUUCUGAAAAAUCGCAAAUUACAAUUCAUGAAUCUUUGUGCCGAGAUGCGAACUGGUCCAUAUCAGAAAAAUAAAGUGGAAACAAAAAAUGCUGAAUGCAAGGCUUUGCAGAUAAAAUCUGAAACAAUCCAAAACGUGAUGGUCCACGAAGUAAUUACCAGCACCGCCCAUGCUGUGAAAGCAGUGAAAGAAGUUGAAGCAAAUAUCGAUGCACUUCUUGAUCUAAAACAAUGAGACGGGAUAAAACAAAAAACAUAACAAAAACAAAGAAACAGUUUGAGCGGUUGGUGCAGCUUUUGGAGGAAAAUCCCGACAUCGCAAAAGGAUUUAUACGUGGUAACUCCGGACCAUUUUGGAACGAUUGUGCUGCUGAUUUAGACAGUUUGGGACCAAAAGGUGUGGGCGGAUUAUAAAUCAGCGUUGAAGCGCAAACUCUCUCACAACAAAAGAGAGCAAAAGGCAACUGGAGGAGGACCCAACAGAACGAUACGUUUGUCUGAGCUAGAGGAGCAAGCAGUUCAGCUAACUGGACUGUUGGAAACCGUAGAAGGAAUACCAGGUUGUUCUUCACAAGGAACACCUAAAGGAAAAAAACAACGAGGUUAAGGCAGAUGUAAGUUGGGAUUCCAUUAGCGAGUCCGACGAUGUGAAUGAUACGGCUUUCCUCGCCGCUCACAAACAAAGAGACCUAGGCUAUCUGCCCUCAAUUUAGUUCAAAUACAAAUUGAACAACAACAGAAAUUUCACUCGGAAAUGCAAUCGCUGUUGGGUACCUCAAACAAAAAUCUCAAUGAUAUGGUAAAUUACCAACGCCAAUUCGCCACAGAAAUCAACUCAAUAGACACUGGUCUCGAAGAUAUGUUGAAAGAACAAAAUCGACAUAACCGCGAAAUAGAAAAAAUCGCUCGAGAGAAGCUGGAGGUUAAAAAACGAAUAUUAGAAAUGCAAAUAGAACAUUUUUCCGAGCAUUGAAAUGUUGCAU